rnacentral:rRNA from 1 species
UAAGGUGGUACGCGAGCUGGGUUUAGAACGUCGUGAGACAGUUCGGUCCCUAUCUGCCGUGGGCGCUGGAGAAUUGAGGGGGGCUGCUCCUAGUACGAGAGGACCGGAGUGGACGCAUCACUGGUGUUCGGGUUGUCAUGCCAAUGGCACUGCCCGGUAGCUAAAUGCGGAAGAGAUAAGUGCUGAAAGCAUCUAAGCACGAAACUUGCCCCGAGAUGAGUUCUCCCUGAGACUUUAAGUCUCCUGAAGGAACGUUAAAGACGAUGACGUUGAUAGGCCGGGUGUGUAAGCGCAGCGAUGCGUUGAGCUAACCGGUAC